rnacentral:rRNA from 1 species
CAAUAGCGUAUAUUUAAGUUGUUGCAGUUAAAAAGCUCGUAGUUGGAUUUCGGUUAAGAGCGACCGGUCCGCCGUUUGGUGUGCACUGGUUGGUUUUAACUUCCUGUAGAGGACGUGCUCUGGGUUUAACGACCUGGACUCGGAGUCUACGUGGUUACUUUGAAAAAAUUAGAGCGUUCAAAGCGGGCUUACGCUUGAAUAUUUCAGCAUGGAAUAACACUAUAGGACUCCUGUCCUAUUUCGUUGGUCUCGGGACGGGAGUAAUGAUUAAGAGGAACAGUUGGGGGCAUUCGUAUUUCAUUGUCAGAGGUGAAAUUCUUGGAUUUAUGAAAGACGAACUUCUGCGAAAGCAUUUGCCAAGGAUGUUUUCAUUAA